rnacentral:rRNA from 1 species
UUCGCAAUGCCCGAAAGGGUGACGAAGCGACGCCGCGUGGGUGAGGAAGGCCCUCGGGUUGUAAAGCCCUGUCAGGAGUUAAGAAAUGUAGGUGUGCUAAUACCACAUCUAUUUGACAAAGGCUCCAAAGGAAGCCACGGCUAACUCUGUGCCAGCAGCCGCGGUAAUACAGAGGUGGCAAGCGUUGUUCGGAAUUAUUGGGCGUAAAGAGCACGUAGGUGGGUUUGUAAGUCAGAUGUGAAAGCCUUCUGUUCAACGGGAGAAUUGCAUCUGAAACUACAAAUCUUGAGUGUAGGAGGGGAGAAUGGAACUUCUGGUGGAGCGGUGAAAUGCGUAGAUAUCAGAAGGAACGCCGGCGGCGAAAGCGAUUCUCUGGCCUAUUACUGACACUCAGUGUGCGAAAGCUAGGGGAGCAAACGGGAUUAGAUACCCCGGUAGUCCUAGCUGUAAACGAUGGGCACUAAGUAGAGGGGUUUU